GGCGCUGUAGUGUAGCGGUUAUCACUCGAGAUUCUGAUAUUGUCUGUCACAAAAUGUAACUUCUCGUAACCCAGGUUCGAUUCCUGGCAGUGCCU